rnacentral:rRNA from 1 species
AGCGAACGCUGGCGGCAGGCUUAACACAUGCAAGUCGAGCGGGCGUAGCAAUACGUCAGCGGCAGACGGGUGAGUAACGCGUGGGAACAUACCUUUUGGUUCGGAACAACACAGGGAAACUUGUGCUAAUACCGGAUAAGCCCUUACGGGGAAAGAUUUAUCGCCGAAAGAUUGGCCCGCGUCUGAUUAGCUAGUUGGUAGGGUAAUGGCCUACCAAGGCGACGAUCAGUAGCUGGUCUGAGAGGAUGAUCAGCCACAUUGGGACUGAGACACGGCCCAAACUCCUACGGGAGGCAGCAGUGGGGAAUAUUGGACAAUGGGGGGAACCCUGAUCCAGCCAUGCCGCGUGAGUGAUGAAGGCCCUAGGGUUGUAAAGCUCUUUUGUGCGGGAAGAUAUGUCGGUCC